rnacentral:rRNA from 1 species
AGAGUUUGAUCCUGGCUCAGGAUGAACUUUGGCGGCGUGCCUAACACAUGCAAGUCGAACGGGGCGCGCCGGCGGGGGCCCUCCGGGGCUGAAGCCGGCGCCGCCCAGUGGCGGACGGGUGAGUAACGCGUGGGCAACCUGCCCCGCACUGGGGGACAACAGCCGGAAACGGCUGCUAAUACCGCAUGGGCGCACAGCCCCGCAUGGGGCGGUGCGGAAAGCCUUGGCGGUGCGGGAUGGGCCCGCGUCUGAUUAGCUUGUUGGCGGGGCAACGGCCCACCAAGGCGACGAUCAGUAGCCGGCCUGAGAGGGUGGGCGGCCACAUUGGGACUGAGACACGGCCCAAACUCCUACGGGAGGCAGCAGUGGGGGAUAUUGCACAAUGGGGGGAACCCUGAUGCAGCGACGCCGCGUGGGCGAUGGAGCGCCUCGGCGCGUAAAGCCCUAUCAGCAGGGAAGAAAAUGACGGUACCUGACUAAGAAGCCCCGGCUAAAUACGUGCCAGCAGCCGCGGUAAUACGUAUGGGGCAAGCGUUAUCCGGAUUUACUGGGUGUAAAGGGAGCGCAGGCGGCCUGGCAAGCCUGAUGUGAAAUACCGGGGCCCAACCCCGGGGCUGCAUUGGGAACUGCCAGGCUGGAGUGCCGGAGAGGCAGGCGGAAUUCCUAGUGUAGCGGUGAAAUGCGUAGAUAUUAGGAGGAACACCAGUGGCGAAGGCGGCUGUCUGGUCUGCAACUGACGCUGAGGCUCGAAAGCAUGGGUAGCGAACAGGAUUAGAUACCCUGGUAGUCCAUGCCGUAAACGAUGA